GAUGAACGCUAGCUACAGGCUUAACACAUGCAAGUCGAGGGGCAGCAUGGUCUUAGCUUGCUAAGGCUGAUGGCGACCGGCGCACGGGUGAGUAACACGUAUCCAACCUGCCGUCUACUCUUGGCCAGCCUUCUGAAAGGAAGAUUAAUCCAGGAUGGCAUCAUGAGUUCACAUGUCCGCAUGAUUAAAGGUAUUUUCCGGUAGACGAUGGGGAUGCGUUCCAUUAGAUAGUAGGCGGGGUAACGGCCCACCUAGUCAACGAUGGAUAGGGGUUCUGAGAGGAAGGUCCCCCACAUUGGAACUGAGACACGGUCCAAACUCCUACGGGAGGCAGCAGUGAGGAAUAUUGGUCAAUGGGCGAUGGCCUGAACCAGCCAAGUAGCGUGAAGGAUGACUGCCCUAUGGGUUGUAAACUUCUUUUAUAAAGGAAUAAAGUCGGGUAUGCAUACC
rnacentral:rRNA from 1 species